AUGCUGAUUUCAGUAUAGCAUUUUGUUAAAAACUUCGCGACUGCAAACGGCAGUAUGUAUAGGUUCUCCGACUUGUUCGAGAAUGCAUGCGAGGGAAAGCACGUCAACGGCUCCAUCUGGGACCACAUCCUCGGUUACUGGCAGGCGAGUAAAGCAAGCCGGGAGAGGGUCCUCUUCCUGCGGUACGAGGAGAUGCUGCGUGACCCGGUUGGCAAGGUCCGGGAGCUAGUGCAGUUUCUUGGGGUGCCGUUCACGCUGUCCGAGGAGGCGACAGGGCUACCGGCAGAUAUUGUGAAGUUGUGCAGCAUUGAGACGCUGAGAGGCGUAGACAAGGCGGGAGCAAACGGGAUAUUUGUCAAGUUCCCGCAUGCAUCUUUCUUCAGGAAAGGGGUGGCUGGAGACUGGGUGAAUCGUAUGACGCCGGAGAUGGCAAGACGCUUCGAUGCCAUUGUGGAGGAAAAACUUCAUGGGUCAGGCUUGCCUUUCAAGCCUUACAUUAGUUAG
rnacentral:rRNA from 1 species